GGUUUCUAAAGAACUAUAAAGCAUUCAGUGCGAUCAAACAUGGAGGGGAGAGAGAUUGCUGUAUUCAGCAAAGUGGCUGUAUUCAGACCACCUCCCACGCACCCUGUAGCUGGAGGCGGUCUGCCCCCCACAGUACACCAGACGGCCGGACAGGCCAUGCUCGACGCUGGACGGAUGAGAUCGGUAGCCGUUUCCGGUCACACGCACUCACAGCCUGGAAGGGGAGGGCACCGCAUGCCGCGCAAGGUCGCUCGGCUGCAAUCUCCAAUCGAGUGAGCCAGCAAGGGCUGCGGGAGCCUCUCCAUUCACAGACAAGAAUAAGGGUACUAACAUCUUGGAACUUGGCGAACGUGAUCGUUGCCAAGAGAGGAGAAAAUGACCCGUAAAGCACGCUAGACCAGGAGGCCAAAACAUCUGCACACCCCUGCAAACAGGCAGGCGAACGUGACAGACGGACCGAACCCCAACUCAGCCUUCACUGGCCUCCGUCGCACAACCAGGCCCGUAUCAGCAGCACGUUUCUGGUCAACAACCGGCAAAUGUCCAAAGUUUUCGCCAUCAUCUCCCACCACAGGUAUCUGGGCUAUAUGUCCCUCGGGUCUCACCAGAAACUGUGCUGAUGCCUGAGGGGAAAUGUCAUGGAAACGGAGACACCAGUCAUCCGCAAAAAUUCUUUGGCAACCGCCCCCUGGCUUUUCAGCUGGGCAUCUGAGUCCCAGCCCCACGUCUCACUCUGCACUGGCAACGUGGAGCCCGCUCGGGGUUCUCUCCACCCUUCCCCUGCUCGCUCGCUCUCUCUCAAAAUCAAUAAAUACACAAAACAA